AAAACAGGCGAUAAAUCAUUCAAGUUUCUGACCUAUCAGCUUUCGACGGUAUGGUAUUGGCUUACCGUGGCAGUGACGGUUAACGGGGGAUUAGGGUUCGAUUCCGGAGAGGGAGCCUGAGAAACGGCUACCACAUCUAAGGAAGGCAGCAGGCGCGCAAAUUACCCAAUUCUAACAGUUUGAGAGAGGUAGUAACAAGAAAUAACAAUACAAGGCAGUUAAAUGCUUUGUAAUUGGAAUGAUAGAAAUUUAAACCCUUUUUAAAGUAUCAAUUGGAGGGCAAGUCUGGUGCCAGCAGCCGCGGUAAUUCCACUCCAAUAGCGUAUAUUAAAAUUGUUGCAGUUAAAAAGCUCGUAGUUGAAGUUCUGCUGAAAGUAACCGGUCUGCUUUUAAUAAAGUGGUAUCUUGGUAUGUAUUUAGCAAUGAUGUCCUUUGAAGGUGUUUUUUACUUUAUUGUAAAAAGCAUAUUCAGGACUUUUAC
rnacentral:rRNA from 1 species